rnacentral:rRNA from 1 species
GUGAGGAAUUUUCCGCAAUGGGCGAAAGCCUGACGGGGCAAUGCCGCGUGAAGGAUGAAGGCCUAUGGGUUGUAAACUUCUUUUCUCAGAAAAGAAUUAUGACGGUAUCUGAGGAAUAAGCAUCGGCUAACUCUGUGCCAGCAGCCGCGGUAAGACAGAGGAUGCAAGCGUUAUCCGGAAUGAUUGGGCGUAAAGCGUCUGUAGGUUGUUUAAAAAGUAUUCUGUCAAAGAUUAGGGCUUAACCCUAGAUAGGCAGAAUAAACUUUUAAGCUAGAGUUUGGUAGAGGCAGAGGGAAUUCCCGGUGGAGCGGUGAAAUGCGUAGAUAUCGGGAGGAACACCAAAGGCGAAGGCACUCUGCUGGGCCAAUACUAACACUGAGAGACGAAAGCGAGGGGAGCAAAUGGGAUUAGAAACCCUAGUAGUCC